CUCACUUUUAUUUUGCCUCGUAGCAAAUAUCGGGGUCUUAGAUCAUAAUUUCUGCUUUUGUCCAACAGCGAUCUUUCUCGCAACUAUCUCAAUGGAUCGAUCCCUGCAGCAUGGGCUUCCCUUCCUCUCACCGAUUUGUCGCUUUUGGGAAAUCACAUUUCUGGAACAAUUCCAAAGGAGCUAGGAAACAUCAUGACACUCAAGUCACUAGUCAUUGAAGUUAACGAGGUCGAAGGACCUCUUCCUCCAGAGCUUGGUAAUUUGCGUAGCUUGGAGAGAUUGUAAGAUUCUCUGUUUUGCCACUGCAAUUUUUAUUUUUUUUAUUUUUCAAAUAGUGACAUAAUUCU